rnacentral:rRNA from 1 species
AGCGAACGCUGGCGGCAGGCUUAACACAUGCAAGUCGAGCGGGCAUCCUUGUGGUGUCCGCGGCAGACGGGUGAGUAACGCGUGGGAACGUGCCCUUCGGUUCGGAAUAACUCAGGGAAACUUGAGCUAAUACCGGAUACGUGCGAGAGCAGAAAGGUUUAUCUGCCGAAGGAUCGGCCCGCGUCUGAUUAGCUAGUUGGUGAGGUUAUGGCUCACCAAGGCGACGAUCAGUAGCUGGUCUGAGAGGAUGAUCAGCCACACUGGGACUGAGACACGGCCCAGACUCCUACGGGAAGCAGCAGUGGGGAAUAUUGGACAAUGGGGGCAACCCUGAUCCAGCCAUGCCGCGUGAGUGAUGACGGCCUUAGGGUUGUAAAGCUCUUUUCUUCGGGACGAUAAUGACGGUACCGGAGGAAUAAGCCCCGGCUAACUUCGUG